CUGGCAGCUUCCUCGCACAAAGAAUAAGUAUUGCGAUACAGCGAGGAAAUGCUGCCAGCAUCUACGGCACCAUUCCGCAGGGGGAUAGUUUUUAAUUAUUUAUUUUAAGAUUAGUUUUAUUUAUUUUUAGAUUUAGUUUUUAAGUUUUGUAGGUUAGUUAUUUAAUAUUUAUAUAUUAUAUAUAUCGUUGUCUAAGUACCCACAACACAAGCCUUCAUGGGCUUACCGUGGGGCUUAUCAAUUUGUGUAAUAAUGUCCUAUAAUAUUUAUUUAUAUAAUAU